GAUGAAGAACGUAGUGAAAUGCGAUAAGUAAUGUGAAUUGCAGAAUUCAGUGAAUCAUCGAAUCUUUGAACGCACAUUGCGCCCGCUAGUAUUCUGGCGGGCAUGCCUGUCCGAGCGUCAUUUCAACCCUCAAGCCCCCGGGCUUGGUGUUGGGGAUCGGCGAGCCUCCGCGCCCGCCGUCCCCUAAAUCUAGUGGCGGUCCCGCUGCAGCCUCCUCUGCGUAGUAGUUUUCUCCUCGCAAGGGCAGCUCGGUGGCGACCUCGCCGUAAAACCCCCAACUUCUGAAAGGUUGACCUCGAAUCAGGUAGGAAUACCCGCUGAACUUAAGCAUAUCAAUAAGCGGAGGA
rnacentral:misc_RNA from 1 species